UUCGGCCGUACCAUGCUGAAUAUACCGGUUCUCGUUAGAUCACCGAAGUUAAGCAUCAUUGGGCGCGGUCAGUACUUGGGUGGGUGACCACCUGGGAACACUGCGUGCCGUU
rnacentral:rRNA from 1 species